rnacentral:rRNA from 1 species
AGCGGCGGACGGGUGAGUAACACGUGGGUAACCUGCCCAAGAGACUGGGAUAACACCUGGAAACAGAUGCUAAUACCGGAUAACAACACUAGACGCAUGUCUAGAGUUUGAAAGAUGGUUCUGCUAUCACUCUUGGAUGGACCUGCGGUGCAUUAGCUAGUUGGUAAGGUAACGGCUUACCAAGGCAAUGAUGCAUAGCCGAGUUGAGAGACUGAUCGGCCACAUUGGGACUGAGACACGGCCCAAACUCCUACGGGAGGCAGCAGUAGGGAAUCUUCCACAAUGGACGAAAGUCUGAUGGAGCAACGCCGCGUGAGUGAAGAAGGGUUUCGGCUCGUAAAGCUCUGUUGGUAGUGAAGAAAGAUAGAGGUAGUAACUGGCCUUUAUUUGACGGCAAUUACUUAGAAAGUCACGGCUAACUACGUGCCAGCAGCCGCGGUAAUACGUAGGUGGCAAGCGUUGUCCGGAUUUAUUGGGCGUAAAGCGAGUGCAGGCGGUUCAAUAAGUCUGAUGUGAAAGCUUUCGGCUCAACCGGAGAAUUGCAUCAGAAACUGUUGAACUUGAGUGCAGAAGAGGAGAGUGGAACUCCAUGUGUAGCGGUGGAAUGCGUAGAUAUAUGGAAGAACACCAGUGGCGAAGGCGGCUCUCUGGUCUGCAACUGACGCUGAGGCUCGAAAGCAUGGGUAGCGAACAGGAUUAGAUACCCUGGUAGUCCAUGCCGUAAACGAUGAGUGCUAAGUGU